GAUGAAGAACGUAGCAAAAUGCGAUACUUGGUGUGAAUUGCAGAAUCCCGUGAACCAUCGAGUUUUUGAACGCAAGUUGCGCCCGAAGCCUUUUGGCCGAGGGCACGUCUGCCUGGGCGUCACGCAUCGCGUCGCCCCCCCACAAUUCUCCGUAAAGGGAACUUGUGUUUUGGGGGCGGAUAUUGGUCUCCCGUGCUCAUGGCGUGGUUGGCCGAAAUAGGAGUCCUUUCGAUGGACGCACGAACUAGUGGUGGUCGUAAAAACCCUCGUCUUUUGUUUCGUGCUGUUGCUCGCAAGGUAAACUCGUUAAAACCCCCAAUGUGUCGUCUCUUGACGACGCUUCGACCGCGACCCCAGGUCAGGCGGGACUACCCGCUGAGUUUAAGCAUAUCAAUAAGCGGAGGA
rnacentral:misc_RNA from 1 species